rnacentral:rRNA from 1 species
GAUGAACGCUGGCGGCGUGCCUAAUACAUGCAAGUCGAGCGAACGGACGAGAAGCUUGCUUCUCUGAUGUUAGCGGCGGACGGGUGAGUAACACGUGGAUAACCCACCUAUAAGACUGGGAUAACUUCGGGAAACCGUAGCUAAUACCGGUUAAUAUUUUGAACCGCAUGGUUCAAAAGUGAAAGACGGUCUUGCUGUCACUUAUAGAUGGAUCCGCGCUGCAUUAGCUAGUUGGUAAGGUAACGGCUUACCAAGGCAACGAUGCAUAGCCGACCUGAGAGAGUGAUCGGCCACACUGGAACUGAGACACGGUCCAGACUCCUACGGGAGGCAGCAGUAGGGAAUCUUCCGCAAUGGGCGAAAGCCUGACGGAGCAACGCCGCGUGAGUGAUGAAGGUCUUCGGAUCGUAAAACUCUGUUAUUAGGGAAGAACAUAUGUGUAAGUAACUGUGCACAUCUUGACGGUACCUAAUCAGAAAGCCACGGCUAACUACGUG